rnacentral:lncRNA from 1 species
CACCUGAAAUGGGGCACCCCCUCCACAUGACGCUGACAUGGCCUGAGUCCAUUUGCCACCAGGUCAGGUCCAGAAGCCCCACAGGGGAGAAAGAAGGCACAUCCCUCCCUUCUUCCAUCCUCUGCCUCAGCCUAAUGGGAGCUGUAGUCUGGCAAUACUUUGGAUCUGGAGAUGAAAUUUGACUGUGGCUUCCUUAAGGGCACCUUCGGCUUCCCUGGAAAGCAAUGGGAGGAUUUCAGUGGUUUAGCUCAGUAGUUUUUAACCUUUGUUACUCUGAUGUUUUUGAACUGCAACUCCCAGAAACCCCAGCCAGCACAGUUGGUGGUGAAGGCUUCUCGGAGUUGCAGUCCAAAACUCCUGAGUAACCCAAGGUUAAGAACCAGUGGUUUAGCUGAUUUGCUCUGGUGUCUGAAGGGUGAGUGUGUGUGUGUGUGGGGGGGAAUGUAUUUUAACAUACUUUUUGAACCUUUCUAUUCCCUUCUCUUUUUUCCAGGUCAAGCCAUUCCUCAGCCUGCAGUCCCACCCACCCCCUCCUGCCUGCCACGGGGGACUCUCUUUCCUUACAGAGAAGACGCAGACUUUGAAAGAGGGCAGGAAAGGAAUGGAAGAAGAGAAGCAGAGACAUACUGACCCUUCCCCCUCCCACCCAACCUUUUCUUCCAAAGGAUCACCUCUUGCCUGCGUGACUGAGGGCAGCUCUGUUUUACUGUACGGCAGCCUCAAGCAUGAGUGACCUGGAAGAUGGUUGAUCAGCUGUUGGAAACUCAAGGUCAUGGCUUCCUUGAUGGAGUCUGUCUGUCUCACCUUCAGUCGUCCACUUCUCCUGCUACCUCCAACCUUUCCUACCAGGGAUGCUUGCACUGAGAAAGCAAAAUUGAAGGUCAUACUUCAUGGUAUUUUAUUUUAUUUUAUUUUUCUUCUGUCAGCAUCUGUUUUGUGGAUUACCAUUCAUCAGAGCCUGCACAUUUCUAAAAUCCCCUAGUAUGUUUUGUACGGAGGGCUAACCCCUUUUCUGACUUUUCCUGAUCUGCACUUUUAAAACAAUAAAUAUGCUUGUUUGUAAAGUCA